rnacentral:misc_RNA from 1 species
GAUGAAGAACGCAUCGAAAUGCGAUAAGUAAUGUGAAUUGCAGAAUUCAGUGAAUCAUCGAAUCUUUGAACGCACAUUGCGCCCCUUGGUAUUCCGAGGGGCAUGCCUAUUCGAGCGUCAUUAUCACCCCUCAAGCCUAGCUUGGUGUUGAGGCCUGCUGUCAAGGCAGCCUCUAAAAUCAGUGGCAGUGCUGUCAGGCUCUAAGCGUAGUAAAUCUAAUCGCUAUAGACACCUGGUGGACACUCGCCAGAACCCCCCCAUUUUUUAAUGAUUGACCUCGGAUUAGGUAGGGAUACCCGCUGAACUUAAGCAUAUCAAAGCGGAGGA